rnacentral:rRNA from 1 species
AUGAACGCUGGCGGCGUGCCUAAUACAUGCAAGUCGAGCGAACAGACGAGGAGCUUGCUCCUCUGACGUUAGCGGCGGACGGGUGAGUAACACGUGGAUAACCUACCUAUAAGACUGGGGUAACUUCGGGAAACCGGAGCUAAUACCGGAUAAUAUAUUGAACCGCAUGGUUCAAUAGUGAAAGACGGUUUUGCUGUCACUUAUAGAUGGAUCCGCGCCGCAUUAGCUAGUUGGUAAGGUAACGGCUUACCAAGGCAACGAUGCGUAGCCGACCUGAGAGGGUGAUCGGCCACACUGGAACUGAGACACGGUCCAGACUCCUACGGGAGGCAGCAGUAGGGAAUCUUCCGCAAUGGGCGAAAGCCUGACGGAGCAACGCCGCGUGAGUGAUGAAGGUCUUCGGAUCGUAAAACUCUGUUAUUAGGGAAGAACAAAUGUGUAAGUAACUAUGCACGUCUUGACGGUACCUAAUCAGAAAGCCACGGCUAACUACGUG